rnacentral:rRNA from 1 species
CACCGCGGUUAUACGAGAGGCUCAAGCUGACAGAAUUCGGCGUAAAGAGUGGUUAGGAGUAAAAAAAAUUAAAGCUAACCCCCUUCAAAGCCGUUAUACGCAUUCGAAGACCUGAAACCCCAUUACGAAAGUGGCUUUAAUCCCCUGAACCCACGAAAGCUAUGGAA